CGAGUGAAGCGGCAACAGCUCAAAUUUGAAAUCUGGCCCCCUCGGGGCCCGAGUUGUAAUUUGUAGAGGAUGUUUCGGGUGUGGCUCCGGUCUAAGUUCCUUGGAACAGGACGUCAUAGAGGGUGAGAAUCCCGUAUGUGACUGGCAGCCUACGCCCAUGUGAAACUCCUUCGACGAGUCGAGUUGUUUGGGAAUGCAGCUCAAAAUGGGUGGUAAAUUUCAUCUAAAGCUAAAUAUUGGCCAGAGACCGAUAGCGCACAAGUAGAGUGAUCGAAAGAUGAAAAGCACUUUGGAAAGAGAGUUAAACAGUACGUGAAAUUGUUGAAAGGGAAGCGCUUGCAACCAGACUUGCGUGCGGCCGAUCAUCCGGUGUUCUCACCGGUGCACUCGGUCGUGCUCAGGCCAGCAUCGGUUUCGGCGGCUGGAUAAAGGCCAUGGGAAUGUAGCUCCUCUCGGGGAGUGUUAUAGCCCGUGGUGCAAUGCAGCCCGCUGGGACCGAGGACCGCGCUUCGGCUAGGAUGCUGGCGUAAUGGUUGUAAGCGACCCGUCUUGAAACACGGACCAAGGAGUCUAACAUCUAUGCGAGUGUUUGGGUGUCAAACCCAUACGCGGAAUGAAAGUGAACGGAGGUGAGAACCCUUAAGGGUGCAUCAUCGACCGAUCCUGAUGUCUUCGGAUGGAUUUGAGUAAGAGCAUAGCUGUUGGGACCCGAAAGAUGGUGAACUAUGCCUGAAUAGGGUGAAGCCAGAGGAAACUCUGGUGGAGGCUCGCAGCGGUUCUGACGUGCAAAUCG
rnacentral:rRNA from 1 species